rnacentral:rRNA from 1 species
GACGAACGCUGGCGGCGUGCCUAAUACAUGCAAGUAGAACGCUGAAGAGAGGAGCUUGCUCUUCUUGGAUGAGUUGCGAACGGGUGAGUAACGCGUAGGUAACCUGCCUUGUAGCGGGGGAUAACUAUUGGAAACGAUAGCUAAUACCGCAUAACAAUGGAUGACACAUGUCAUUUAUUUGAAAGGGGCAAUUGCUCCACUACAAGAUGGACCUGCGUUGUAUUAGCUAGUAGGUGAGGUAAUGGCUCACCUAGGCGACGAUACAUAGCCGACCUGAGAGGGUGAUCGGCCACACUGGGACUGAUACACGGCCCAGACUCCUACGGGAGGCAGCAGUAGGGAAUCUUCGGCAAUGGGGGCAACCCUGACCGAGCAACGCCGCGUGAGUGAAGAAGGUUUUCGGAUCGUAAAGCUCUGUUGUAAGUCAAGAACGGGUGUGAGAGUGGAAAGUUCACACUGUGACGGUAGCUUACCAGAAAGGGACGGCUAACUACGUG